CGCGUAGGUGGCCUGUGGAAGUCUGCGGUGAAAGCCCGGCGCUCAACGCCGGGUCGGCCGUGGAUACUCUCGGGCUUGAGCUUACUAGAGGCAGAUGGAAUUCCGGGUGUAGCGGUGGAAUGCGUAGAGAUCCGGAAGAACACCGGUGGCGAAGGCGGUCUGCUGGGGUAAUGCUGACACUGAUGCGCGACAGCGUGGGGAGCAAACAGGAUUAGAUACCCUGGUAGUCCACGCCGUAAACGAUGGGCACUAGGUGCUUGGGGGAGCGACCCCCUGAGUGCCGUCGCUAACGCAUUAAGUGCCCCGCCUGGGGAGUACGGCCGCAAGGCUGAA
rnacentral:rRNA from 1 species